rnacentral:sRNA from 1 species
AUUGGGGACCAUCUGGAGAGGUGGCAGAGCGGUUGAAUGUACCUGACUCGAAAUCAGGCAGGCGUUUAUAGCGCCUCGGGGGUUCGAAUCCCCCCCUCUCCGCCAAAUGACGCAAAAAUCCCCGCAUAAAACGGGGUUUUUGU